CCCCUAGAUGUCCUGGGCCGCACGCGCAAUACAGUGUAAAGUUCAGAAAGCAUAUCCUGUUCCGGAAGGCAAUGGGUAAUCUUUUCAAUAUUUUACGUGUUAGGGAUCGAUCUUUGCAAUUAUAGAUCUUGAACGAGGAAUACCUAGUAAGUGCAGCUCAUCAGGCUGUACUGAUUACGUCCCUGCCCUUUGUACACACCGCCCGUCGCUCCUACCGAUUUCGAGUGGUCCGGUGAAUCUUUUGGAAUUAGAGUGCAAACUCAAACUAAGAUCGAUAAACCUUAUCACUUAGAGGAAGGAGAAGUCGUAACA
rnacentral:rRNA from 1 species